rnacentral:tRNA from 1 species
CAGGGAGACAACAAAAUGUUUAAUAUUAUUAUUUUGUCACCUUAGGUCGAUCGGUAUCUCACAUUCUUGAUUUAUCAAGAAUUUCAUUUCCUAAGUUUUUCUAGGUCACACCCAUUAUUUUUCCUGGGCCAUUAGCUCAGGUGGUUAGAGCGCACCCCUGAUAAGGGUGAGGUCCCUGGUUCAAGUCCAGGAUGGCCCAUAUCUCUAUGUUGGGGGUAUAGCUCAGUUGGUAGAGCGCCUGCUUUGCAAGCAGGAUGUCAGCGGUUCGAGUCCGCUUACCUCCACUGAUUACCACCUCUUCCAUAUUUUUAGAAAGGAAAAUUUUGAGUUGUGAUCAAAUUCUGAACGAAUCUAGCUUCCUAAUGUAACCAUUAAGAUGCUGGACUCAUUGAAUUAAUUUCAUUGUUUUCAGAGAACCUUGACAACUGCAUAGAUUAUUUUUUUAAAGACAAUAAGCAUCUUUAAUGAUGCAGAUUUAUUAUUUGUGCUAAAGCAUUAAUAACAAUUCUAUUAAGCUGAUGCUUCAA